rnacentral:rRNA from 1 species
GAUGAACGCUAGCGGCAGGCUUAAUACAUGCAAGUCGAGGGGCAGCAUAAGUAGCAAUACUUGAUGGCGACCGGCAAACGGGUGCGGAACACGUACGCAACCUUCCUUUAAGUGGGGAAUAGCCCGGGGAAACCCGGAUUAAUACCCCGUAAUAUUAUGAUGUGGCAUCACAUUAUAAUUAUAGAUUCAUCGCUUAAAGAUGGGCGUGCGCCUGAUUAGGUAGUUGGCGGAGUAAUAGCCCACCAAGCCUGCGAUCAGUAACUGGUGUGAGAGCACGACCAGUCACACGGGCACUGAGACACGGGCCCGACUCCUACGGGAGGCAGCAGUAAGGAAUAUUGGUCAAUGGACGCAAGUCUGAACCAGCCAUGCCGCGUGGAGGAUGAAGGUCCUCUGGAUUGUAAGCUUUCUUUUAUUUGGGAAGAAAUGUGAUGAUUCUUUAUCACUUGACGGUACCAGAUGAAUAAGCACCGGCUAACUCCGUGCC